rnacentral:ribozyme from 1 species
GCUGGCGGCCGGCCUGUGCUGCGGCAUCUCCGGCCUGGCCGCGGGCGGCUGCAUCGGAAUCGUCGGCGACCACGGCGUCCGCGCCA